rnacentral:misc_RNA from 1 species
AACCUAGCACACCUGCGGUGUGUACCUGCGGAAGGAUCAUUACCGAGUGUGGUCCCAUAUAAGGGGCGCCUCCCGUCCUUUGCAGGGCCUUUAGGGGCUUUUUGACUUUGCUUCGGCGGGCUUGCCCCGCCGGAACACCCUCAAGAAAAUCUUUAUGAACCGUUUGUCUGAGUUGCUUGCGAAUAAAAACAAAACUUUUAGCAACGGAUCU